UCCGGUUCUAAAAGGUGCGAGAAUCUAGGUUUUGGGAAAGCUCACAACUAUUUAUUAGAUUUAUUUAUUCACUACCUUAGUCCUCCGCCGCCGCCGUCUAAAUCCCAAAUUCCAAUUGUAUCACUGAAAUGUUUGAAAACAAACAAUUUACGAGCUCUUCUUUUCUCUGAAAUGUUUCAGAUCUCACUCCUUCAAUUCCACUUGUUCUUAGAUUGUUAGGCGAAAAUCUAGACAUUCUUGGAUCUGGUUUCUUGAUGGAUAAACGCGAAGCAGAUAGCUCUCUUGAGAUAUAUGUUACGAUGUUUUCUUUCCUGUUAAUGUUCGGUACCUCCACUGCGUUGUCCUUCAUUCAAGCUCUUACUAUAGUUGGAAUCCAUGAUCCACUUCUCAAACACAGCUUGGGGGCGAUCAAGUGGGCAUUUGCUGCAUCCUUCUAUAGCAACAUACUUGGCAUGUCCGUAACUCUCAUUCUACAUCCUUGCCGCAAACUCCACCCAUACAAGAAGUUCAGCCUCAUCAUCGGAUGUUUCACUUCAUUUUAUUUCAUGUUACGUGGUAAUGGCCUCUUGUUAUCAUUCAAACUCCAGCAUCCUCGUGCCUUUCAAUGGAGAAGAUUGCAGGAUUUUGAAAGCUAGAAAGGAAUUUGGAACGGUGAGGAGAUAUUCAUGAAUGAGCAUGACAGAAGUACUAAGUACUUUCGUCUGCUAGCUUCCUACAAACAGGAAAAGAAGAAUUCCACUCCUUAAGGGAGGAUUCUGGUGUUUGGAUAGAAGAAGGCAAGGAUCAACUUGAUAGUUACUUUCUCUUAGACUAAUGUGGGUUACUGACAGAGUGUAAGAGAUGUGUAAUUCCUACACACAAAAUGUGUUGGUUUUCUGUUAACUCUGCGGUUAUAGGACCAAAUCGAUGGUAGUUUCAGGAGUAGAACACUAUUCUAGAAUGAGUUAGUGUGGCAAAUUAAA